rnacentral:rRNA from 1 species
UACGAAGGGGGCUAGCGUUGCUCGGAAUCACUGGGCGCAAAGCGCACGUAGGCGGCUUCUUAAGUCAGGGGUGAAAUCCUGGAGCUCAACUCCAGAACUGCCUUUGAUACUGAGGAUCUUGAGUUCGGGAGAGGUGAGUGGAACUGCGAGUGUAGAGGUGAAAUUCGUAGAUAUUCGCAAGAACACCAGUGGCGAAGGCGGCUCACUGGCCCGAUACUGACGCUGAGGCACGAAAGCGUGGGGAGCAAACAGG